UACGUAGGUGGCAAGCGUUGUCCGGAAUUAUUGGGCGUAAAGCGCGCGCAGGCGGUUCUUUAAGUCUGAUGUGAAAGCCCACGGCUCAACCGUGGAGGGUCAUUGGAAACUGGGGAACUUGAGUACAGAAGAGGAAAGCGGAAUUCCACGUGUAGCGGUGAAAUGCGUAGAGAUGUGGAGGAACACCGGUGGCGAAGGCGGCAUCCUGGACCAAUAUUGACGCUGAGGAGCGAAAGCUAGGGGAGCAAACGGG
rnacentral:rRNA from 1 species